rnacentral:rRNA from 1 species
GACGAACGCUGGCGGCGUGCUUAACACAUGCAAGUCGAGCGGUAAGGCCCUUUCGGGGAUACACGAGCGGCGAACGGGUGAGUAACACGUGGGUGACCUGCCUUCAGCUCUGGGAUAAGCCUGGGAAACCGGGUCUAAUACCGGAUAUGACUCCAUGACGCAUGUUGUGGGGUGGAAAGCCUUGUGCGGCUGAGGAUGGGCCCGCGGCCUAUCAGCUUGUUGGGGGGUGAUGGCCUACCAAGGCGACGACGGGUAGCCGGCCUGAGAGGGCGACCGGCCACACUGGGACUGAGACACGGCCCAGACUCCUACGGGAGGCAGCAGUGGGGAAUCUUGCGCAAUGGGCGAAAGCCUGACGCAGCGACGCCGCGUGAGGGAUGACGG